rnacentral:piRNA from 1 species
UGACCUCGGACAUGCUGAGUCUCCUUGAGAU